rnacentral:snoRNA from 1 species
CAGCCAGCCAAUUACUCUGCUUCUCUGAAUGUGUUUCUACAGAAACUUAGAAACAGCUGGCGAUACUGAUGCCAUUUUAUGAGACUUAAGGACAACUGAGGUCAUUAUGGUCCCUCAAAAUGACUACAAAU